UGAGGGUUGAGUGGUUGUGAGAUCUCUAUAUUUCCAGUUGUGUUUUUGUGCAGGUACUAGCUGGUCCUCAAUUAAGGGAUGUUAUUGUUGAGAGUUGAGAGUUGAGUGGUGUGAGCAUAUAUUUUUGUUAGGUUUUUUGUGGUGAUAACUGCUCUCUUUCUGUGUUGGAGUGUUCAUAUGUGGGUUGAGUGAUGGUAGUAAUAAAUCAGUGAGAUUUUGAUGCAGUUACUGUUGAUGUUUGUUUCUAUUGAGUGUAUUGAUUGCUUGUCUUUCCAGGAUCAAUUAAGUGAGGCUUUGGAGCAAGCUGUCCAUCUGUUAUAGAACAAUUUUGAGUAGUUAUGCUACUCAGUUAUACAUUGGUUGAGCUACCUACUGCUACAACCUGUGUAUAUGCUGCUGCUGUGUUUAGGCUGGGCAGGUUGGGCUUUCAUAGGGCUUACCAAUGCCACCAAAACGAUUGGCGCAGUCAUCUCUUCAACCUUCGCAUGAGGCAAUUUUUGUUUGGAAUGAGGAUUUACAUGACAAUGUGGAGACCCAACACUCACAGCCACUUGAUGUCGAUAUAGAGGCACAGAGGGAGGCAGCCCCCCAAUCUAGUGUCGAUUGGAGAUGAACGAAUUUGGUAACCUGCAUAGCAAGAACUUUUUGUUGAAAUUACU